AAUUGACGGGGCCCGCACAAGCGGUGGAGCAUGUGGUUUAAUUCGAUGCAACGCGAAGAACCUUACCUACCCUUGACAUCUACAGAAGCCGGAAGAGAUUCUGGUGUGCCUUCGGGAACUGUAAGACAGGUGCUGCAUGGCUGUCGUCAGCUCGUGUUGUGAAAUGUUGGGUUAAGUCCCGUAACGAGCGCAACCCUUGUCCUUAUUUGCCAGCGAGUAAUGUCGGGAACUCUAAGGAGACUGCCGGUGACAAACCGGAGGAAGGUGGGGACGACGUCAAGUCAUCAUGGCCCUUACGGGUAGGGCUACACACGUGCUACAAUGGCCGGUACAAAGGGCUGCGAGCUCGCGAGAGUCAGCGAAUCCCUUAAAGCCGGUCUCAGUCCGGAUCGGAGUCUGCAACUCGACUCCGUGAAGUCGGAAUCGCUAGUAAUCGUGAAUCAGAAUGUCACGGUGAAUACGUUCCCGGGCCUU
rnacentral:rRNA from 1 species